rnacentral:rRNA from 1 species
UAGGGAAUCUUCCACAAUGGACGCAAGUCUGAUGGAGCAACGCCGCGUGAGUGAAGAAGGUUUUCGGACCGUAAAGCUCUGUUGUUGGUGAAGAAGGAUAGAGGUAGUAACUGGCCUUUAUUUGACGGUAAUCAACCAGAAAGUCACGGCUAACUACGUGCCAGCAGCCGCGGUAAUCGUAGGUGGCAAGCGUUGUCCGGAUUUAUUGGGCGUAAAGCGAGCGCAGGCGGAAGAAUAAGUCUGAUGUGAAAGCCCUCGGCUUAACCGAGGAAUUGCAUCGGAAACUGUUUUCUUGAGUGCAGAAGAGGAGAGUAGAACUCCAUGUGUAGCGGUGGAAUGCGUAGAUAUAUGGAAGAAUACCAGUGGCGAAGGCGGCUCUCUGGUCUGCAACUGACGCUGAGGCUCGAAAGCAUAGGUAGCGAACAGGAUUAGAUACCCUGGUAGUCCAUGCCGUAAACGAUGAGUGCUAAGUGUUGGGAGGCUUCCGCCUCUCAGUGCUGCAGCUAACGCAUUAAGCACUCCGCCUGGGGGAGUACGACCGCAAGGUUGAAAC